rnacentral:rRNA from 1 species
CCUACGGGAGGCAGCAGUGGGGAAUUUUGGACAAUGGGCGCAAGCCUGAUCCAGCAAUGCCGCGUGCAGGAUGAAGGCCUUCGGGUUGUAAACUGCUUUUGUACGGAGCGAAAAGGCCUACUUUAAUACAGUGGGCUAAUGACGGUACCGUAAGAAUAAGCACCGGCUAACUACGUGCCAGCAGCCGCGGUAAUACGUAGGGUGCGAGCGUUAAUCGGAAUUACUGGGCGUAAAGCGUGCGCAGGCGGUUAUGCAAGACAGAUGUGAAAUCCCCGGGCUCAACCUGGGACCUGCAUUUGUGACUGCAUAGCUAGAGUACGGUAGAGGGGGUAUGGAAUUCCGCGUGUAGCAGUGAAAUGCGUAGAUAUGCGGAGGAACACCGAUGGCGAAGGCAAUCCCCUGGACCUGUACUGACGCUCAUGCACGAAAGCGUGGGGAGCAAACAGGAUUAGAUACCCUGGUAGUCCACGCCCUAAACGAUGUCAACUGUUGUUGGGUCUUCACUGACUCAGACGAGACGACGCGUGAGUAGACGUCCGUGGGUAGGUUACGGCGCGAGUUAGUAACGUUACGAGAGAGUUAGAGGCGNGAGACGNGCGACGGCGACGACGAGGGAGGAGG